GGUGGAGGGUAAGUUAGUCACCUGUUAUCUCAGAAACUUCUACGUCUGGUCCCAGAUUAAAAUAGCUAUGGGCACAUGUUCUGUCCCAGACAAGCCUCUUUCAGAAGCACCGGAGUUGGUACUUUGCCCUCUGUGACCAGAAGAAAAGAUGCUCCUGAAAGUCUCUGUGUUGCUCUUUGGGAUUCAAGUGACAUGGUUGAGUGCCCAGCUGGAGCAGAGUCCUCGAUUUCUGAGCAUCCACGAGGGGCAAGAUCUCACCAUGUACUGCAACUCCUCAAGUACUUUCCCAAAAUUUUACUGGUACAGACAGGAGCCUGGAGAAGGCCCUGUCCUCUUGAUGACACUUGUCAAAAGUGGAGAAGUAAAGGAACAGGAGAGGAUAACCGCUCAGUUUGGGGAAGCAAGAAAGGACAGCUCCCUGCGCAUCCUCACAGCCCAGCCUGGGGAUGCAGGCAUCUACCUCUGCGCA